UACGGAGGAUGCAAGCGUUAUCCGGAAUGAUUGGGCGUAAAGCGUCCGCAGGUGGCUGUGUAAGUCUGCUGUCAAAGAGCAAAGCUCAACUUUGUAAAGGCAGUGGAAACUACACGGCUAGAGUGCGUUCGGGGCAGAGGGAAUUCCUGGUGUAGCGGUGAAAUGUGUAGAGAUCGGGAGGAACACCGGUGGCGAAGGCGGGUCUCUGGGCAUCUCCUGACGCUGAGGCGCGAAAGCGUGGGGAGCAAACGGG
rnacentral:rRNA from 1 species